GAUGAACGCUAGCUACAGGCUUAACACAUGCAAGUCGAGGGGAAACGAUAGAGAAAGCUUGCUUUUUCUAGGCGUCGACCGGCGCACGGGGGAGUAACGCGUAUCCAACCUGCCCACCACUUGGGGAUAACCUUGCGAAAGUAAGACUAAUACCCAAUGAUAUCUCUAGAAGACAUCUGGAAGGGAUUAAAGAUUUAUUGGUGAUGGAUGGGGAUGCGUCUGAUUAGCUUGUUGGCGGGGUAACGGCCCACCAAGGCGACGAUCAGUAGGGGUUCUGAGGGGAAGGUCCCCCACAUUGGAACUGAGACACGGUCCAAACUCCUACGGGAGGCAGCAGUGAGGAAUAUUGGUCAAUGGGCGAGAGCCUGAACCAGCCAAGUAGCGUGCAGGAUGACGGCCCUAUGGGUUGUAAACUGCUUUUAUAAGGGAAUAAAGUGAGUCUCGUGAGACUUUUUGCAUGUACCUUAUGAAUAAGGACCGGCUAAUUCCGUGCCAGCAGCCGCCGUAA
rnacentral:rRNA from 1 species